ACUGCUCUUAGAAGCAUUCCGGGGUGUGACUGCUGUGUCAGUAGGUGGCAGAGAGGAGAAAGGCUAUGUCUAAAUUCAAUAUUCUGAUCUAUGAAUACCUAAAUGAUUAUUAGCUUAACAUU
ensembl:snoRNA Gm25342 predicted gene, 25342